rnacentral:rRNA from 1 species
CGGUGAAACCGCGAAUGGCUCAUUAAAUCAGCUAUGGUUUAUUGGAUCGUACCCGUUAAAUGGAUAACUGUAAUAACUCUAGAGCUAAUACAUGCCUCGAUGCUCUGACCCUGUUCGCUUGCUACUGGUGCUGCUGCCGUCGCUGCUUCGCUGCGGCGGCAUGUGGUGGGUAGGUGGCAGGAGGCAGGGGAUGGGUGCACUUAUUAGAUCAGAAGCCAACCAAUUGCUUGUGCGUGUGCGGCCGGUGGAAGGACCGUUGCAUGCGCGCGUGCAAGCGUUGAGAGGAGACUUCUGGUGACUCUGGAUAAUUGUUACAGAUCGCAGUCGGCCUUGAGUCGGCGACGGGUCCUUCAAAUGUCUGCCCUAUCAACUGUCGAUGGUAGGUGACCUGCCUACCAUGGUGAUAACGGGUAACGGGGAAUCAGGGUUCGAUUCCGGAGAGGGAGCCUGAGAAACGGCUACCACUUCCAAGGGAGGCAGCAGGCGCGCAAAUUACCCACUCCCGGCACGGGGAGGUGGUGACGAAAAAUACCGAUGCGGGACUCCUUCAAGAGGCUCCGUAAUCGGAAUGAGUGGACUCUAAAUCC